UACGGGGGGGGCAAGCGUUGUUCGGAAUUACUGGGCGUAAAGGGCUCGUAGGCGGCCAACUAAGUCAGACGUGAAAUCCCUCGGCUUAACCGGGGAACUGCGUCUGAUACUGGUUGGCUUGAAUCCGGGAGAGGGAUGUGGAAUUCCAGGUGUAGCGGUGAAAUGCGUAGAUAUCAGGAGGAACACCGGUGGCGAAGGCGGUUCUCUGGGCAUGUCCUGACGCUGAGGAGCGAAAGUGUGGGGAGCGAACGGG
rnacentral:rRNA from 1 species